AACGAACGCUGGCGGCAGGUCUUAGGCAUGCAAGUCGAACGGGUGUAGCAAUACAUCAGUGGCGAACGAGUGAGUAACGCGUGGGAAACUGUCCAUCUCUGGGGAAUAACGUUUGGAAACGAACGCUAAUACAGCAUACGCCCGCAAGGGGAAAGAUUUAUCGGAGAUGGAUGUGCCCGCGUUGGAUUAGGUUGUUGGUGGGGUAACGGCCUACCAAGGCGAUGAUCCAUAGGUGGUCUGAGAGGACGAUCAGCCACGCUGGAACUGAGACACGGUCCAGACUCCUACGGGAGGCAGCAGCUAAGAAUAUUGGGCAAUGGAGGAAACCCUGACCCAGCCAUGCCGCGUGAAUGAAGAAGGCCUUCGGGUUGUAAAGUUCUUUUAGUCGUGAAGAUGAUGACAGUAGCGACAGAAAAAGCACCGGCUAACUUCGUGCCAGCCGCCGCGGUAA
rnacentral:rRNA from 1 species